AAACCCUGUUGUGGGCAUGAACUGACAAAAUCCAUGAACCGCUCCUAACAUUGGAAGAAUGUUUCAUCUUCUUUUUAGGUGAAAUUCAUGAUUGACUUUCAGAGGGU